GAUGGCGUUCUUUCAAGAGCUAACAAAAACACAAUAACGCGGGAAAAGUAGCGUGUGAGUAUCUCGCGGGGUCUGAUAUUUGUUAACCUGAGUAUCAAACUUCGACGUUCAGGUCUGUAGAUAAUAACAGUCAUGGAGCCGCUUGUUACUGUUUCACCGGCUAAGCCUGUAGAAAACCAGUCUGAGCCAAAGGAAGAAGCACAUUCCAUUCCACAAGAACCUCUGGCUGUUGUUUCGGAUAUUAAUAAAGAAAGUUCUGAUGCAGCUGAAAAAAUCCUAACAAAUGCCAUGGUCAAUGAAGAAGAAAAAUUGCAUAAAGAAUCUGUUGAGGAAGAGAAUAGACAGAGAGAGG